rnacentral:tRNA from 1 species
GGGCGAUUAGCUCAGCGGCGAGAGCGCCUGCCUUACACGCAGGACGUCGGGGGUUCGAAUCCCUCAUCGCCCA